rnacentral:misc_RNA from 1 species
UUCACAAUGUAAGUCAUUCUAGCAUUUCCCAUAUUCAUAUUGAUGUUAAUAAAUCUAGAUGUUAAUAAAUCUAGAUAGAUAUAUAUGUCUAGAAUCAUUAACAUCAAUAUGAAUGUGGGAAAUGCUAGAAUGACUUACAUUGUGAAAUGG